rnacentral:rRNA from 1 species
GACGAACGCUGGCGGCGUGCCUAAUACAUGCAAGUCAAGCGAGGGUUUUCGGACCCUAGCGGCGGACGGGUGAGUAACACGUAGGCAACCUGCCUCUCAGAUCGGGAUAACAUAGGGAAACUUAUGCUAAUACCGGAUAGGUUUUUGGAUUGCAUGAUCCGAAAAGAAAAGAUGGCUUCGGCUAUCACUGGGAGAUGGGCCUGCGGCGCAUUAGCUAGUUGGUGGGGUAACGGCCUACCAAGGCGACGAUGCGUAGCCGACCUGAGAGGGUGACCGGCCACACUGGGACUGAGACACGGCCCAG